CCGCCGGCGGACGACAUAUUACCCGUGUCAAGAGAAAGGAAGGGGAGAGAGAGGAAGACCGUAGCGCAACUGCAGGGAGAGGCAGGCGGGAUUG